rnacentral:tRNA from 1 species
CAUUAAGAAGCUAAAACAGGAUUAUAGCAUUAGCCUUUUAAGCUAAAUAAUGGUGACCUCCUACCACCCUUAAUGA